rnacentral:rRNA from 1 species
AAUAGAUACCCAGGUAGUCCACGCCGUAAACGAUGAGUGCUAGGUGUUAGGGGUUUCGAUGCCCGUAGUGCCGAAGUUAACACAUUAAGCACUCCGCCUGGGGAGUACGGCCGCAAGGCUGAAACUCAAAGGAAUUGACGGGGGCCCGCACAAGCAGUGGAGCAUGUGGUUUAAUUCGAAGCAACGCGAAGAACCUUACCAGGUCUUGACAUCCUUUGACCACUCUGGAGACAGAGCCUCCCCUUCGGGGGCAAAGUGACAGGUGGUGCAUGGUUGUCGUCAGCUCGUGUCGUGAGAUGUUGGGUUAAGUCCCGCAACGAGCGCAACCCUUGACCUUAGUUGCCAGCAUUCAGUUGGGCACUCUAAGGUGACUGCCGGUGACAAACCGGAGGAAGGUGGGGAUGACGUCAAAUCAUCAUGCCCCUUAUGACCUGGGCUACACACGUGCUACAAUGGAUGGUACAAAGGGUUGCGAGGCCGCGAGGUGAAGCCAAUCCCAUAAAGCCAUUCUCAGUUCGGA